rnacentral:rRNA from 1 species
AGAGUUUGAUUCUGGCUCGAGGAUGAACGCUGGACGGCAGGCUUAAUACAUGCAAGCCGGACGGUAACAUGGCUGUAGCAAUACGGCUGAUGACGAGUGGCGCGCGGGUGCGUAACGCGUAUGCAACCUGCCCCCGACCGGGACAAACGCUGAGAAAUCGGCGCUAAUAUCCCAUGCUGACUAGGGACGGCAUCGUCCGUAGUCGAAAGAUUCAUUGGUCGGGGAUGGGCAUGCGUAACAUUAGCUCGUUGGCGGGGUAACGGCCCACCAAGGCGACGAUGUUUAGGGGUUCUGAGAGGAAGGUCCCCCACACUGGAACUGAGACACGGUCCAGACUCCUACGGGAGGCAGCAGUAGGGAAUAUUGGGCAAUGGGAGCAAUCCUGACCCAGCCCAUGCCGCGUGAAGGAAGAAGGCCCUACGGGUUGUAAACUUCUUUUGCCGCGGAGUAACCCCGGGGACGUGUUCCCGGCUGAGAGUACGCGGCGAAUAAGCACCGGCUAACUCCGUGCCAGCCGCUGC